rnacentral:lncRNA from 1 species
GUUGUUAACGCCAAGAUCUUUCUCCACGUCCCAAUCACGUAAGACGUCCUGAUCCUGCACAGUAAACACAGUCAACACCGAAAGCUUGAUGGCGGUUCCGUCGGGGGAUAGCUCAGGCGUGAGAAUUAGUACGUGUUCACAAGGUUAACAAUGGAGGAAUAUAUGGUCUAGUGUAUUGAGAGAAUUAAAAUCUCAGUCGUGUGUAUGGGAGAAUAUGAGUAAUCAAUAUAUGAGAGAACAUACCUCUAUACGAUGGCUUCCUUGCUAAGUUAUAUUACUUUUGCUUGGAUUAUUAUGCCACCCACUAUUACCUGACACCCCCUCUGAUCUGAUGGACCCUGCCAACUAUAUCAGGUUUAUCUACUGCUUUUGGCCAUUGUUUUCUCCCGCCGGCCGGUUAUGAUCCCAUCCACAUUAAUGCAUGGCAGGAGGAUUGGUCAACUGUCAUGCUUUUUCAUCAUCACAAGUCAAAGUAACAGAUAUUAAAAUAUCUAAUGGGUCGAUCCACUGGUCUGACCCGGUCCAAUAGAAUUAAAUAAAGUUGACACAAUAAAUGGGCUCAAAGAGUCCCAUGGCUUAAUAAUAAAAGCCCAAUAGAUUAUACUGAUAAAUGGGCCCAAUCUAUCCGGCCCAAGAUAGGAGAAAUAUUAUGACCCAACANNNN